rnacentral:misc_RNA from 1 species
UCUCCGUAGGUGAACCAGCGGAGGGAUCAUUAUCGAGUUUAUAACUCCCAAACCCUAUGUGAACUUACCACUUGUUGCUUCGGCGCGUGCUUCGGUGCCGCCGAGGACACUUAAACUCUUUGUUUUUAUAAGCAUUUCUGAGUGGCCGAAAGGCAAAAUACAAAUGAAUCAAAACUUUCAACAACGGAUCUCUUGGUUCUG